AGGACGAACGCUGGCGGCGUGCUUAACACAUGCAAGUCGAGCGGAAAGGCCCUUCGGGGUACUCGAGCGGCGAACGGGUGAGUAACACGUGAGCAACCUGCCCUUAGCUUCGGGAUAGCUCCGGGAAACCGGAAUUAAUACCGAAUAUGACUGCGGCUGACAUCAGCCACGGUGGAAAGUUUUUCGGCUAGGGAUGGACUCGCGGCCUAUCAGCUAGUUGGUGAGGUGACGGCCCACCAAGGCGACGACGGGUA
rnacentral:rRNA from 1 species